rnacentral:tRNA from 1 species
GCCUUGGUGGUGUAAUGGUCAGCACACUGAGCCGGUAUUUCAGAGGUCCGUGGUUCGAUUCCCGGUGAAGGAA